AUGGCGUCCGGCAGUGGGACGAAAAACUUGGACUUUCGCCGAAAGUGGGACAAAGAUGAAUAUGAGAAGCUCGCUGAGAAGAGGCUCACGGAAGAGAGAGAAAAGAAGGAUGGAAAACCAGUGCAGCCCGUCAAGCGGGAGCUUCUGCGGCACAGGGACUACAAGGUGGACCUGGAAUCCAAGCUUGGAAAGACAAUUGUCAUUACCAAAACCACCCCGCAAUCUGAGAUGGGAGGUUAUUACUGCAAUGUCUGUGACUGUGUGGUGAAGGACUCCAUCAACUUCCUGGAUCACAUUAAUGGAAAGAAACAUCAGCGAAACCUGGGUAUGUCUAUGCGUGUGGAACGUUCCACUCUGGAUCAGGUGAAGAAACGCUUUGAAGUCAACAAGAAGAAGAUGGAAGAGAAGCAGAAGGAUUAUGAUUUUGAGGAAAGGAUGAAGGAGCUCAGAGAAGAGGAGGAAAAGGCCAAAGCCUACAAGAAAGAGAAACAGAAGGAGAAGAAAAGGAGGGCUGAGGAGGACUUGACAUUUGAGGAGGAUGAUGAGAUGGCAGCUGUGAUGGGCUUCUCUGGCUUUGGUUCUACCAAGAAGAGUUACUGAGGCUUUCUAUGCUUGGCCCUUUGCUGGGCCUAACUUUGCACUGGCUGUAAAGUUGAUCGUGGAGCGACCCCUGUUAGGUAGUCUGGGAAGCGUGGAGGCGGAGGGAGUGUCCAGAGACGUGUGGAGGACCAGGUAACCGCUGCGUGGUAGGAGAGAAAGAGCCCAGACGCAGUUGCGGAAGAGCUCACUAGACGAAAAGGAAAGCCUGGGUCUUUCUCCCUGAUGGUGUGUUCCCAGAAGGACACUCUGUCUACAGGUAGAGGCGGAUCGGACAGUUUUUCGGAAGCUGAGCGGCUGUGAAACGCUCUUGGCCUGGCUGACUCCACCCCUCAGAACUUUGUGACGCAUGAAAGCUAUACGUAGUCUCACUAGUGAAGAAAUUAUAAUUGAAAAGCUGCUCUCGGGCUGGCUUUAGCUCAGCGGUUCCUUCGGUGCAUCUCCAGUACUGUAACUGCCCUUUCGAGGGUGGUUCGAGACCCGCGGGCGCUCUCCAGCCCUUUUUUGCCGUCGGCCUUUUAAAUAUUUUUUUCAAUUUCCCCGUAGCAAGCCUUUGAGUGAGUGUUUUUGAGAUCCCCUCCCCUGCAGAGUGCUACCGGAAAGACGAGACGGUUCCGCGGAUUUUCAGCUUCUUCAGGACUAUAAAAGGAACCAGCACUCUUCGGAGAGAUGACUGAUUCUAGGACUGAGGCAGAAAAAAUACAAGAUGAACCUGGACCAUCUUGUAGUUCCAGAAAGGAUGUCUACCAACGGCAAGAAACCUCGGAGGAGAGCCCAUCCGUCUCCAGACAUAUCCAUCAUUGGGUUGUGAGUGGAGUCUCUGUUUAUUCUCUUUUUCUCUAAUAAUUGUAAAUCAUUGGUCCAAUGUACACUGUCAUUGUAUGAAUGAAUAUCCAGGGGGAUGCCUAUACAUUCCAAGGUGCAUUGGCCCAUCAUGUUCAUCCAUCUAAAUAGGGCAGCGCCCAAGUGUAGGGUUCAUUGCUUUGGUCUAGUUUCUUUUCAGUGGGAUAAUUUGAUCUCCCAUCUAAAAAUACAUAUCCAUAAGGAGCACAGAUCAUGUUGUUCCUGGUAUAAUUAUGUGGGAAGGAAAUGUUUUGAUUUACUUGCUCAAGCCAAGGUUCUGUUAGAGAAUUGUUACAAAUGGAUAACCAUCCCAUUGUUAAAGGGUCCCAGAGUCUAGUAGAAAGAGGAGAUAAGCCAUUCUUCCUACACUCAGGUAAUUCCUUUGCCUUGAUAAAAUCUCAAAGUAUCUGGGGGAAUUCUCCAUGUUGGGACGAAUAGCUAAUUCAGCAAACACCAACACCCCUGCAUUCUGCAAAACAAACUGUCAAGCGCCCCAUGACCGACCUCGUUAGGUGUUAUGGGUUGGGGUAAAUUAAAGCAUGCUAUUUGAGGUUGGGCCAAUGAUCCAGGAGGAUGCCAUAGUCUAACACGUAUGGCUCACUUAAGGGUGAUGUUGGAGUUAAUGGUUGUAUGGGGUAUGAAACUAUAAUUCAGUAUGGUGGAUGCUAAAGGAUCAGAAUUGGCAAAACUGGAUUUUGGGGAAGAGUGACAAAUCCAACAUUCAGUGAGAUUAUCAGUGCUAGCUACUGCGUGGGACAAAGUAACAAAGGCAUUUUCAUGCCAGGUAUUAACUUGAACUAU